UGCGCGGUGUAAGCAUUACGCCAAAGUGGCUGCAUAUGUAAGUAAUCGCGCGCGAGCCUGCACGGCCCACUGCUUUGCUCGCGCAUAUCGCGUACGUGGGAUGCCGGAUCAAGUGAAAGAAGAGUUCUUCGUGGCCGUGAAAAAAAAUGGUGCCUGUGGCAGACAGGGCGGCGAAGAAUGUGAACCAUCGAUCGUGGACUCAGCCCAACAGUACGAUGCGUGGUGCAAAAGAUGGCUAGUCUUUGGAGGAUUGUGAGCAUGUGGCAGCUGCACACCAGUACGUGUGGAACAGCUCUUCGAUGGCAGUGUGCGCUGGUGGUGGACGCAGCAGCAGUAGAGACAGGCAGUUGGUGUGCGCUUUCCUGUCGUGCUACUUCCCCUUCUCCAUGUCUCCUUUACAUCCCUUCAGCCUUUUCCACAAAGGCACCGAGAUGUGCCCCCACGCAGGAGCCUGGUUGAGAAGCCAGUUUCCGGACACCACCUGGAGCAAGGUGUCCAAAUUUCUACACGUGUUCCACAAGAAUGCAGUGAAAAUUUCAACAAAAGAUGGGCAUGGCACAAAGGAACAGGAAGAAUUUUUUUUUGUGGACAAACAAACUGCUGUUAUAAACCUAAGGCAAAAUGGUAUCGCCUGCCAACAGAGCCACCAGACACACUUUGCUGCAUCUGCCUUUUCAGGAUCAAUAAAGACUUUCCAGGGCUGUGAAAUAUUGAAUAUGUUUGUGAUGUUGCUCCGAAAAAAUAAACGUCAGUUGAAAGUUAGUG
rnacentral:lncRNA from 1 species